UACGAAGGGGGCUAGCGUUGCUCGGAAUCACUGGGCGUAAAGGGCGCGUAGGCGGCCAUUUAAGUCGGGGGUGAAAGCCUGUGGCUCAACCACAGAAUUGCCUUCGAUACUGGAUGGCUUGAGUUCGGUAGAGGUUGGUGGAACUGCGAGUGUAGAGGUGAAAUUCGUAGAUAUUCGCAAGAACACCGGUGGCGAAGGCGGCCAACUGGACCGACACUGACACUGAGGCACGAGAGCAUGGGGAGCGAACAGG
rnacentral:rRNA from 1 species